AUUGAACGCUGGCGGCAGGCCUAACACAUGCAAGUCGAGCGGGGUUUUCGGACCUAGCGGCGGACGGGUGAGUAAUGCGUAGGAAGCUGCCCGAUAGAGGGGGGUACCAGUUGGAAACGACUGUUAAUACCGCAUAAUGUCUACGGACCAAAGUGUGGGACCUUCGGGCCACAUGCUAUCGGAUGAGUCUACGUGGGAUUAGCUAGUUGGUGAGGUAAUGGCUCACCAAGGCGACGAUCUCUAGCUGGUUUGAGAGGAUGAUCAGCCACACUGGAACUGAGACACGGUCCAGACUCCUACGGGAGGCAGCAGUGGGGAAUAUUGGACAAUGGGCGCAAGCCUGAUCCAGCCAUGCCGCGUGUGUGAAGAAGGUCUUCGGAUUGUAAAGCACUUUAGGUUGGGAGGAAGGGCGUUUGGCUAAUAUCCAGGCGUUUUGACGUUACCAACAGAAUAAGCACCGGCUAACUUCGUGCCAGCCGCCGCGGUAAAAC
rnacentral:rRNA from 1 species